AAAAAUAUCAUAAGAUAUAAAUUAUUACCAUAAAAAGGCAACUCACUUAAUAACACCAUUAUCUAAAUUACCAUUUAAACCAAACAAGAAUAAAUUACGCUUAAAUGAAUAGCUACAAGAACAUAUGCUUAGAAACAACAUCAACAGGCAAAAAUCUACAAAAUGUUAAGAGAACUUUGACUACCAUACGUUUCAAAAGUGUAUCUUCAACACAUACAAAUCCGAUACAAAUAUAGCUUAACCAAACGGAGUUCCUU
rnacentral:lncRNA from 1 species